GGACUGAUGAAGAGUCCCAUAAUAGGACGAAACGUCCUUCCAGUGC
rnacentral:hammerhead_ribozyme from 1 species